rnacentral:rRNA from 1 species
UACGUAGGUUGCAAGCGUUAUCCGGAAUUAUUGGGCGUAAAGCGUGCGCAGGCUGAUCGUUAAGUUGGAUGUUAAAUCCCUGAGCUCAACCCAGGUUUGGUGUCCAAAACUGGCAAUCUAGAGAAAGGCAGAGGUAAGUGGAAUUCUGUAUGUAGGGGUAAUAUCCGUAGAUAUACAGAGGAACACCAAAAGCGAAGGCAGCUUACUGGGCCUUUUCUGACGCUCAUGCACGAAAGCGUGGGGAGCAAACGGG